rnacentral:rRNA from 1 species
AACGUACGCUGGCGGCACGCCUAACACAUGCAAGUCGAACGAAGUAGCAAUACUUAGUGGCAGACGGGUGGGUAACAUGUGGGUAUCUUCCCUUUGGCCUGGAAUAACACGAGGAAACUUGUGCUAAUACUGGAUAAGUCUUUACGGAGAAAGCUUUAUGCACCAUUGGAUGAGCCCGCACUUGAUUAGUUUGUUGGUGGGGUAAUGGCCUACCAAGACUUUGAUCAAUAGCUGAUUUGAGAGGAUGAUCAGCCACAUUGGGACUGAGACACGGCCCAAACUCCUACGGGAGGCAGCAGUGGGGAAUCUUGCACAAUGGAGGAAACUCUGAUGCAGCGAUGCCGCGUGAGUGAAGAAGGCCCUUGGGUUGUAAAGCUCUUUCGUCGGGGAAGAAAAUGACUGUACCCGAAUAAGAAGGUCCGGCUAACUUCGUGCCAGCAGCCGCGGUAAUACGAAGGGACCUAGCGUAGUUCGGAAUUACUGGGCUUAAAGAGUUCGUAGGUGGUUGAAAAAGUUGGUGGUGAGAUCCCAGAGCUUAACUCUGGAACUGCCAUCAAAACUUUUCAGCUCGAGUUUGAUAGAGGAAAGCAGAAUUUCUAGUGUAGAGGUGAAAUUCGUAGAUAUUAGAAAGAAUACCAAUUGCGAAGGCAGCUUUCUGGAUCAUUACUGACACUGAGGAACGAAAGCAUGGGUAGCGAAGAGGAUUAGAUACCCUCGUAGUCCAUGCCGUAAACGAUGUGUGUUAGACGUUGGAAAUUUAUUUUCAGUGUCGCAGCGAAAGCGAUAAACACACCGCCUGGGGAGUACGACCGCAAGGUUAAAACUCAAAUGAAUUGACGGGGACCCGCACAAGUAGUGGAGCAUGUGGUUUAAUUCGAAGAUACGCGCAGAACCUUACCAACACUUGACAUGUUCGUCGCGACUUUAAGAGAUUAAAGUUUUCGGUUCGGCCGGACGAAACACAGGUGCUGCAUGGCUGUCGUCAGCUCGUGUCGUGAGAUGUUGGGUUAAGUCCCGCAACGAGCGCAACCCUCACUUUUAGUUGCCAUCAUUAAGUUGGGCACUCUGAAAGAACUGCCAGUGAUAAGCUGGAGGAAGGUGGGGAUGACGUCAAGUCCUCAUGGCCCUUACGUGUUGGGCUACACACGUGCUACAAUGGUAUCUACAACAGGAAGCAAGACGGCGACGUUUAGCAAAUCCUUAAAAGAUACCUCAGUUCGGAUUGCACUCUGCAACUCGAGUGCAUGAAGCUGGAAUUACUAGUAAUCGUGGAUCAGCGUGCCACGGUGAAUGCGUUCCCGGGUCUUGUACACACCGCCCGUCACACCAUGGGAGUUGGUUCUACCUUAAGGCAAGGUUUCAAACCCUUGACCACGGUAUAGUCAGCGACUGGGGUG